rnacentral:rRNA from 1 species
AGAGUUUGAUCAUGGCUCAGAACGAACGCUGGCGGCGUGCCUAACACAUGCAAGUCGAACGAGAAAGGGAUCUUCGGAUCCUGAGUAGAGUGGCGCACGGGUGAGUAACACGUGGAUAACCUACCCUAUGAUCUGGGAUAACACUUCGAAAGGGGUGCUAAUACCGGAUAAGCCCACGGCUUCUUCGGAAGAUGUGGGAAAAGAUUUAUCGUCAUAGGAGGGGUCCGCGGUCCAUUAGCUAGUUGGUGGGGUAAUGGCCCACCAAGGCAACGAUGGAUAGCUGGUCUGAGAGGAUGAUCAGCCACACUGGAACUGAGACACGGUCCAGACUCCUACGGGAGGCAGC